GUGGGGAAUUUUGGACAAUGGGCGCAAGCCUGAUCCAGCAAUGCCGCGUGCAGGAAGAAGGCCUUCGGGUUGUAAACUGCUUUUGUACGGAACGAAACGGUCCUGGUUAAUACCUGGGGCUAAUGACGGUACCGUAAGAAUAAGCACCGGCUAACUACGUGCCAGCAGCCGCGGUAAUACGUAGGGUGCGAGCGUUAAUCGGAAUUACUGGGCGUAAAGCGUGCGCAGGCGGUGCUGUAAGACAGGCGUGAAAUCCCCGGGCUCAACCUGGGAAUUGCGCUUGUGACUGCAGUGCUGGAGUACGGCAGAGGGGGAUGGAAUUCCGCGUGUAGCAGUGAAAUGCGUAGAUAUGCGGAGGAACACCGAUGGCGAAGGCAAUCCCCUGGGCCUGCACUGACGCUCAUGCACGAAAGCGUGGGGAGCAAACAGGAUUAGAAACCCGGGUAGUCC
rnacentral:rRNA from 1 species